UUCGCAAUGGGCGAAAGCCUGACGGAGCAAUACCGCGUGAGGGAGGAAGGCUCUUGGGUUGUAAACCUCUUUUCUCAGGGAAGAAAAAAAUGACGGUACCUGAGGAAUAAGCAUCGGCUAACUCCGUGCCAGCAGCCGCGGUAAUACGGAGGAUGCAAGCGUUAUCCGGAAUGAUUGGGCGUAAAGGGUCCGCAGGUGGCCAUGUAAGUCUGCUGUUAAAGAAUGAGGCUUAACCUCAUCAGAGCGGUGGAAACUACAGAGCUAGAGUGCGGUCGGGGUAGAGGGAAUUCCUGGUGUAGCGGUGAAAUGCGUAGAUAUCAGGAAGAACACCAGUGGCGAAAGCGCUCUACUAGACCAUAACUGACACUGAGGGACGAAAGCUAGGGGAGCGAAAGGGAUUAGAU
rnacentral:rRNA from 1 species